GACGCAAUGAUCAAAGUCUGAUACAGUAUAUGGCCCUUCAUUAUUACAAGCGUUUUCGUUUGAAGCAAUUUCAAUAUCCGGGCGAAAAAAUUUACCAGUUCCUACAAGAUAUUAAAACUGUAUAUCCUGGCUAUGGAAAAAAUGGUUUAGAGUUGAAAUUUAUAAAUGAGCCAACAGUACAAAGUGAGGAUAUUGAAGAUUUAAUGCCACCGAAAAAAGCUGCCCGUCAAGAUGAUGAAAUGCAGUUUAUUGAAGAUGGUGAUGAUAUGUGGGAGUAUGGAAAUUAAAAAUCCUGCAGCCCUUUCAUAAAUAAAUACAGCAGAAUUACAGGUUCGAAAAUGUAAUUUAUUUCCUAAGUAUUUUUGAUGCUGAAGCCAGUCAGUUUUUAAGAAUGUUAAGUAUGACUCUGAGUGUGUGACCUGAUAUGAGGAGGAUAGU